UUAGCGUAGAAUCAAAAUCGCGGUAGGUAGGUUUAUUUAUGUUACAAAAAAGAUAAAAAAAAGUACCUACCUAUCGCUCACUGUUUAUUACAGCGCAUUCCUUUAAUCAUGCGUAUGCGGUUACAUUAUGCGAAGGGGAAGAAAUCUUAUCUGAAAAUCAAGAAAUUAUGAGGAAUGAGGGUAUUUCGGAGACCCAAACGGAUAGCCAGGCCCAGGCCGAGACUGUGAACUGGAGCGAUGCCGCCACCAAACUUUUAAUAAGUCUGUAUAAGGAGAAAAAGCCCCUGUUAGAGAAUGGGAAGAUAAAACCAUCAAAGCAAAUGUGGCAAAAAAUAUCAAAUGAAAUGGUAUUAUCCGGAUACAAUUAUCCUCCACAUAAAUAGAAAACGUUAGAAGGGAGUUAUAAAAAUGUUAUAUAUAAUAAACACAAAACGGGGAGAGGAAGAAGUUUUUGUCCAUAUUAAAGGGAACUUGAAGAAAUUUUAUCAAAAAUACAUUCAAUUCAUCCACCACAUGUCCUGAGUAGCAGCGUUUCAAGAGAAGAUAUGGUGCAAGCCAGUACUUCAGCAUUUAUUGAAACUGUUGACGAAAUUCCAAAUGUAGCUACGCCAAAUUCGAGUUCAUCUGUAGACGAUGGACAAAACCAUUACUCCAAAAAGCACUGUCCGAAAAACAUUAAAGUCCGAGGUGCAAAAAUUAAGAGAGGCAAUCGACAAACGCACUUCCGAAAAAAUUAAAGCGGAUGAAAGGACGUUUGAUCAAAAAGAAAGAUUAAUUGCAGA